rnacentral:rRNA from 1 species
UACCACAAUAAAAAAUACAUUAAAGAAAGAUUGACGUCUGAUCUUGGAAGCUAAGCAGGGUCAGGCCUGGUUAGUACUUGGAUGGGAGACCACCUAGAAAGACCAGGUGCUGUAGGCA